GCAUCUUCAAGAUCGACACCGACUCCAUCCGCCGCGCCAAAGCCCAGGAUCCCAACAUUACGGUUGAGGAACUGGUGAGAUGCGGAUACAAGAGAAGCGAAGCCAGCCGCGCGAUUCAGUAAGCGAAUUGAAGGUUCUCAUUCACACCCGGCUUCAGCCGGGUGAUCGGACGUGCGACGAGAAAGGGAAACCGUUUGAACGGUUUCCGAUCCUGGCUUGACGCAGUUCACCUGGCUAAAGAAAGCCAGGUGUGAAUGAGACCGAUGGCCGAAGGUGCGGCAUUCUCUGUGACUCUGUGAAACCUCGGUGGAGAAUUCACCGAGACACAGAGAGAGGCUCAGUCGGUCACUGCACCGUGAACUUCACGUCACUGCUGCUUUUCUGACAACUUCCGAUCGUCUUUGUUGUAAGCCGUAACCUGAAAUCGAUAAGUGCCUUUCGGCAUUGGUUUGCUCACACUAAACGAAGUGCCCUCAACGCGCUCGUUGAUAUAAGGCGCCGUAACACUGGAGUCGUCGGCGUAGGUGCUGAACUUGUAAUAAGCCGCGUCCGGGUACGCUUCCCACUUCAGUUCCAGUCCAUCCGCUGAAACCUUCGAGCCAGCCCUGGGAUUGAUCGUCUUCAGAUCGCCUUUGAAUAAGUGAAUAGGCGUGACGAAGAAAGUCUUGCCGUCGACAACGUCAUAUUUCGCCGAGCUGAUUCCUGCCAGGCCCGGUCGUCGCAAAGAUGUACGAGUCAGUCUCAAACACCCGCGCGGUCAACGCCUCGUAUGUUCUUGGCGGCACGUUUGUAAUCACGUAAUCGCCAUCUUUGUCCGUGCGAGCGGUGUAGGUUUGUCCGCCGCAACCGCUCAGGUAGCGGCUGAACGUUUCGCACAGCUUGACCUUCGAUAUUCUCAGCAGGUUUGCUGUUGAAAAGAACUUUGCCCUGAACAUUGCCGGUGCCCGGCGCCGGCUUAACUUUUUCCACUCCCGUUUCACCGGGCCGGGUCGUGUCUGAGUUGGUUGACGUUUUGUUGCCGGCCUUGCAACCCAACAAAGUGAUCGCCGCGAUCAAACUCAUAAGGACAAGUUCGCGAACGAAAGCUGCAGAAGAUUUUCCAAUACGUGAUGACUCUUGGUUAGUCAUAGUCCAACCUCUCACUUUGAGUUUUGUGUCUUACGGAUAUCACAAACUGUGACAUCCUCAAAAUUUGAAAUCCCUGUAACGUUUUCAUCCCGUAGGGAUGAAUAUUUAUAGAUACCUGACUCCUACCCUUGCAUAGCUCCGGAGGAGCGCAAUGUACUUGGAUCUUGUUUCGCUCCUGGCGGAGCUUGGACUGGUUCGUGAUCCAUGUAGCUAUAAAUAUUCUGCUCCUAUCGGAGCUAACAUGUUUUGGUUUUCGGUUUUCCCAUUGAGAUACGAAUUCCAGGAUUGGAUGUCACAAUUUGUGACCUCCAAAGCGGACCUCAAGGGUUUGCGUUAUCGGCCCACGAGCAGCGUAACGUGGUUUCGAGGUUUUAGGUCGCUCCUAAAGGAGCUUGAAUUCUUUGAGAUCGCGGUAGCAAUAAACAUCACGCCCUCCCGAGCUAAACACCCAUUCGUUGGCGGCUAUCCGUGCGCGUCUUGCAACUUUCUUUACUUUCCAGCCUCCAUCAUUUCCUCUAUCAUGCGCCGCGCACAGUGUCACGCGAACUCUACCAUUCUUUGAGAUCACAAGCUGUGAUCUCAAAAAAGAGGGUGGCGUCUAAGCGCUCAAAACCUGUUGUUCCAUAAGUAGCGGAAAUGAACGAUUCAACUCUCAUUACUAACGACAGAAUCGAAAAAGCAAUCUAUCUGAUUCGUGGUGAAAGGGUGAUGAUGGAUAGCGAUCUAGCUGAGCUUUAUGGAGUGGAGACCAACGCACUCAAUCGUGCGGUAAAGAGGAAUCUUAAGAGAUUUCCAAAAGACUUUAUGUUUCAACUUUCAACUGAAGAGGCCUCGGAUUUGAGGCGCCAAUUUGGCGCCUCAAAAAGCUCAACGCGGGGGACGACGCUACUUGCCGUACGUUUUCACUGAACAAGGCGUCGCGAUGCUCUCCAGCGUACUUCAUAGCGACCGCGCUGUGUCAGUGAACAUCGAAAUAAUGCGUACGUUCGUGAAGAUCCGCCAAAUGCUCACCACAAACGCCGAACUCUCACGUCGCCUGGACGACCUUGAAAGCAAAUACGAUCGCCAGUUCAAAGUAGUCUUCGACGCGAUCCGACAACUAAUGUCACCAGCGCCGUCGAAUCGCAAGACCAUUGGAUUUCGAUAAGUGCUGCUCCGACAUACUCUCAAGGCGCGGGGACUCUUAUGCACAUUUCGACAGGAUUUACAUAAACAGGAUGGACUGAUCUUCCUGCUGAAGAUCAGUUUAUGAAUCCCUUCCAAAAUCGAUGACAACGUUGAGGUCCCUGCACUCUCAAAUGACUCUAUGCCUUCCUCUGUGUCCUCUGUGGUAAAUGUUUUCUAAAUCUUGUUCAUCCGGUAAAUCCUGUCUAAUAAUAAUUCCAUGG
rnacentral:misc_RNA from 1 species